UUUCUCUACCUUCUCCUCAUCAACAACCUCAUCCAUUUGUGUCUCCAAAUUUCUGAAGGUAACUUCAUAGCUCUUGGAAUCACACUUCUCCAGAAAUUUGUCGAACUUUUCAUUAAGGCUUUUGACUUGUUCCAUCACAUCAGUUAUCUGUUGGCAUAGUUGUUGAUCAUACUCCCACGUUUCUAUUGGUGAAGAGUAUUGUUACUGCCACUGAUAUUGUUGCCUUUCUUCCAUGCUUCUAUGAGAAGAAAAUCUUGUAUACAUGUCUUGUGGAAAGAAUU
rnacentral:lncRNA from 1 species